rnacentral:rRNA from 1 species
GUAGUCUCGCACAGAUGCAUAUCAAUAAGCGGAGGAAAAGAAACUAACAAGGAUUCCCCUAGUAACGGCGAGUGAAGCGGGAAGAGCUCAAAUUUGAAAUCUUAAAGGGUUUCCCUUUACGAAUUGUAGUUUAAAGAAGUGUUUUCUGUUGAGGUUUCUGGUAAAAGUUCUUUGGAAUAGGACAUCAUAGAGGGUGAGAAUCCCGUAUUUGACCUUUACUUUCAACUUUGUGAUACACUUUCAAAGAGUCGGAUUGUUUGGGAAUGCAGUCCAAAAUGGGUGGUAAAUUUCAUCUAAAGCUAAAUAUUGGCGAGAGACCGAUAGCGAACAAGUACCGUGAGGGAAAGAUGAAAAGAACUUUGAAAAGAGAGUUAAACAGUACGUGAAAUUGUCAAAAGGGAAGCGUUUGACACCAGUGUUGUUUUUCUGAAAAUCAAUUAAAGAACUGUUUAUGCUAAGCUGUUUAGACUUUAUCAGCUAUCUGUUUAGUUUUGAGCUUUUCUUUAAUGCACUUUUCAGUUAACAAGUCAACAUCAAUUUCUUUUGCUGUAAAAAAGCUUGAGGAAGGUGGCUUGAGAUUCGUCUUAAGUGUUUAUAGCCUCUUGCCUAUGCAGUCGGAGAGAUUGAGGUCUGCAGCGUAGAUCCUUCGGGGCUAAAUGCAUUUGUGCUAAGUUAUAGCAUUUUAUAGACAACUUGUUGACUAUGAUUUGUCUUGUAGCUUACUCGCUUAUGUUAUUUUACCUACGCUUAGGAUGUUGACGCAUGAGAUAUACGC